ensembl:lncRNA
GUUUAUUUGUUAACUGGUUCACUUGUCUACUUGUUUGUUUUGGGGAGUACAGAAUGCCCAUUUUGGGUGUUAUUCACGCUUGUGCAAGCAGGGUUUAGAACUGGACAGAUCAGCUACAUGACUGGAUGGCUGAAAAUUUUUAUACAAAAGAAAUCUCACACAUAUUUCCAUCUUUGUUGUGAAUGGCAUCCUAUUUGCAAAGCAGUCAAAAGCAGAGUGAGGCAAAGGUACGUAGAAGGGCAGUAUCAUAUCCAACGUGUCAGUAAACUCUGAUCAAUUCCACUUUAAAUAUGUUAAUUAAAUGCACUCCUUUUUAUGUCUCUUGUCAUUAUGACUUCAGAUUAAUUGCUCUUAGAUGAAUAAGACAAUGCAAAAUAAUUCCUCAACUUUGUUCUUUUUUUUUGUUGUUGUUGUUGUUGUUGCUAAGAGCAGGUGGUGUAGCUGAGUCUGGAACUGUGCUGUUCACAAGACUUCAUGUUCACACCAGCUCCAAGCCAGCGACACAGGCUCUAGAACCUGAUAGAACCCAGCUGCUUAUAGAACUCAACGAGGGAGUACACCUGCUGCAGAUUUUCAGAGCUGCACCCUCAAUAUUGCAGGAACCUGAGAAACCCAUAAGACAUUUGGAAAUGUUCCUCGUACUACUGCAGGGAGUCUGAGGAACUUACCACAAGGAAGGCUGCAAGCAAGAUCUGAAAUGUUUUUGUUUGGAACCUAAGCGAUGCUUGAGGGCAGAAAAUGCACUUCUGAUACUCCAGUCUGCUCAGCCAUCUCCGAUAAAGAAAACCGCCAUCACCACUGCAUCACCAGCCUGUUCCCUGCCGCAGAGCUCCUCUGUCAAAAAAUCAAAUGCUGUUUUAGUCUGAGACCUUGCAUCUCUUUCUUGUCAUAGACCACAGACACUUUACUGAAGAUGCAAGUUAACAGUCUACCAAACACACUGGCUUUCAGUCAUGGUGGUAACUUUCACUCUUCUACAAGAAGCAAACUCUUUUGUCUUCCGGUCUUCUUAGUACUAAUGCAGAAAUUGCUUGGGUGGAUCUGAUCUGUUGUUGGAUUACUCUAGCAUGCUCUUACCCUGUGGAGGUGUGGUCAACAAAGCCCUUACUAUGAAUAAUUUCACUGUAGGCAGUCUUUAUUUUCAGUGCCACAAGGUGGUGGUUAAGUACAGAAGCAGAGGAUGUCUCCAGUAGCUCUUUUAAAAUGCAUAUUACCACUGCAAAUCUUAACUAGUUUCAUUACUUACAUUUCUGUUAAAAAUUUCUAAGCUCUCAUUGAUGUUCUUUGAAAAAACCUGGGAAGAAAAGAAACGGAGAAGUAAAAUCGUGACAAAGCCUUGAAAUUUCUUUAGUGUAUUAGCUGUUCUCCUUAUUCCUCCUGGAUUGCUGCAAAUCAAUGAGAAUAUGUUUUCCACUUAUAAUGAAAUCUAAGGAUGAAAUUCGAUAGAAAUAUGCUUUCAGUGAUACUUUUUUACAAACUUCAACUGAUGAACAGAUGCACAAUGUAAAUGUUUUUAUUUGUACCAUUUUCCAUUUUGCAUUUCUGUGCAGCUCAGAGUAAACCUUCAGUCAGUGUGUUCUUUGGAAUGAGCUUGAAGUGCUUGUUCUAUAUUUUAUACUGAGCUUAGGCUCCUGUCUGCUGCUGACAAAUGGUUUGUUAACAUAUUGUUUUUGAAGCACAAUUUGCAUUUCUGUGAACGGGAGAUUAAGUACUGUGUGUAGAUUAGGAAUAAUUUAUGUCUAAUUAAUAUUAGAUUUUUUUUUCUCUUCUGCUUCAGAUUUUGUUUUGCAGGAGAA